UUUUCCCUUCACUUUUAUUUAAUUCUAUGAAAUCCAUAUGUAUUGUUUGAAAUGGAUAUUGCGGAUUAGGAAAUCGUCCUCUGCGCGGUCUUAGAUUUCCCUGAGAGUUGUGUUUAGCACAAAUUAAACAAGCUCUACAAAAAGUUUUUUGAAAAAGAAAUAAAUCCAUAAGUUUUGUAAUAUUGAUGUAUCUGUCUUACCAUCCCCCCUGUUGAGACAUGCGAAAUGCCAUGACUCAAUAUUGCAGCCCACCUAUACAAGUGGUUGUUUUUUAACAGGAAAAAUAGGAGUGUUACAUGGAGAAUUUUCACACUGCACUAUGACUCCUGCCUCAAUAAGGUCUUUAAUUACUGGUUUUAUACCCUCCUGUGCAUCUGUUUUUAAAGGAUAUUGCUUAACUUUUGGUCUAAACUCUGUUUUGGGUCUAAUUUGCACUGGCAAAGCUUCCUUCACAAGACCCACGUCUGUGGGUCCCUUUGACCAUAAUUUAUCAGGAAUGUCCUUUAAAAGAACUUCCUCUUCUUCUGUAAGUAACAUUUGUCAGUUUUGUUUGGAGUACAAAUGUUGUCCCUUUUGCACCCAUGUUGUCCAGAACAAUGCUUUUCUAGUUAACCCAGUGGAAGCACUAGUUUCUAUGUUUGAGGAAGUAGUCACCCAAUCGGUAGCUGCUUCUCCUUCCUCAACAAGAUUACCUAAAUGAUUCCACUGCUCAUUUCUUUGUUUAAACAGAGAUACAUGCGGGGAGGUCCACGUUCUGUCUAAAGAUUUUAAAUCAUCAGGAAGAGCAACAGCUGCAACGGCUGUGUGUUUUGUAUCUGUAUACAGAUAGGUCACUGUGAUUUUAGCUGUAGUGACCUUGUUGAGCCUGUCUUCAUAAUUCUUGUCAGGCCCAGCCGCAUUCUUGAACCAAAGAGUUAUGUGUAAAUUGUCAGGAGGCUUUUGAUCCUGCGGGGCAGAGAUGGCUUUACCUCCCUCAGUCAGAAGUGUCUGAGCAAAGUUAUGUGGGGGUCUGUCGGGCACAUCUAAUGUAUAACAAUAGUGUGGAUUUCCAUUUCCCUUAACAACAAAGAAAUCUCCCUUUUUUAUUUCUGACUGCCUUUUAACUGCUAUGUGCCCAUCAGUGGUUGGAAUCAAAGCUAAUCCUAGCUGUAUAAGGCCAUCUCUGCCUAAUAAGUUUACUAGGCAUUCUGGGAGCAUCAAAAUGGACAACUGACAAGCUUGUCCCUGUGGAUCUCUAAGCCAGACUGGCUCUGAUUCAUUGACUUGCGUUAAUUUUCCCCCAGCUGACCUCACGACGACAGUUUCCCCACUAAUUUUUACCCCAGAAAUGUUUUCUCUGCACGUUGUUCUACAUGCACCAGUGUCACAAAGGAAAACUACAGGUCUACCAUUCAUGAAAAGAGUUAUUUCUGGUCUUACACUAUCCAUAGAUAAUAAAUCCUGUAGAUUUAAUUGGACCUCUUCACUCUCUAAACUUUCUGAUUCUAGUCAUGCUGACUGAUCUAUGUAUUUUUCUGGGCAAUGUCUGGCUAUGUGUCCUUCCUUCCCACAACACCAACAUCCUAAAUCAUUUUGUUUGAAAUUAUUUUGUCUGUAGUUCCCUCUUCCCAUUCUCCCUUUCUGUCCUCUGGGGUUUUGACCUCUACCCCUGAAGCUUCCUCUUCCUCUCCUUUCUUGAUAAAAUAUUUGCUCCUCAUCUUGGAAAAAGGCUCCUGAAACCUUUUUUUUUUCUUUUGAGACCUUUUCUGCGUGUAUAGCGUGGUUAAUGUAUUCAUCUAAAG